UCUUUUUAACUCUCAGUGAUUCUCAUACCUUUUCUCUAAUAGUGGAUAAACAAAUGUCAAGGUACUUGACAUUGAAAAGAUAAAGUGUACUGUGUUAAGAUGUGUUUACUCCGUGCUCUAUGAGUUACGAAUUCCACAGAU
ensembl:ncRNA ZC455.16 ncRNA